CGCGCAGGCGGUUAUACAAGCCUGGUGUGAAAGCCCUCGGCUCAACCGAGGAACUGCCUGUGAAACUGUCUUGCUUGAGUCCGGGAGGGGGGAGCGGAAUUCCCAGUGUAGCGGUGAAAUGCGUAGAUACUGGGAGGAACACCGGUGGCGAAGGCGGCUCCCUGGACCGGUACUGACACUGAGGUGCGAAAGCGUGGGUAGCAAACAGGAUUAGAUACCCUGGUAGUCC
rnacentral:rRNA from 1 species